rnacentral:rRNA from 1 species
UACGUAGGGGGCAAGCGUUGUCCGGAAUUAUUGGGCGUAAAGAGCGUGUAGGCGGUCCGGUAAGUCGGCUGUGAAAGUCCAGGGCUCAACCCUGGGAUGCCGGUCGAUACUGCCGGACUAGAGUUCGGAAGAGGCGAGUGGAAUUCCCGGUGUAGCGGUGAAAUGCGCAGAUAUCGGGAGGAACACCUAUGGCGAAGGCAGCUCGCUGGGACGUUACUGACACUGAGACGCGAAAGCAUGGGGAGCGAACAGG